UGAUCUCUCUGCCUACAUCUGGGAAAAGAUCACAACUUGAUACAUCGGUGCUCUUCUGUGUCGAGGCUACACUGUCACAAAAACAACUCGAUCUGUCAUGGAUUUCAAGAGGUGUCGAUCGAUAAGAGGAUAUUGUGUCGAUCGAUGUUGAGGCGCUGGUGUCGAUCGAUGUUGAAGGCCUGAUGUCGAUCGAUUGUGAGGCCGGAUCCCUUGUAUCAGCUUCUUCAACUC
rnacentral:lncRNA from 1 species